CUUGAUAGUCUUACCCUUCAUGAAUUUGCCUAAUUCCAUUUUAAAGCUAUCUAAGUUCAUGGCCAUUGCUAUACCUGUGGAUGGCAAAUUCUGUAGUAUAGUUCUUUUGUCUGUCUUAAAUUUCCCAAUAUUUAGCUUCAUCAGAUGACUCUCAGGGUCUAGUAUUAUGAGAGUUGUGUGUGUAUGUAUGCCUUCAUCCACUUUCUCCCCAAGCCAGGCAUACUUUUAUACACUUCUAUCAUGUUCCCCUCUUACUUGCAUUUUUUAUAAACUAAAAACCCCCAUAUGUUGUAACCUUAUUCUCCCUGUGGAAGUGCUCCAGCCUAUUGAUCAGUUUGAUGCCCUUUUCUGAAACCUUUUCAGCUUCUACAGUGACCAGAAUUGUACAUAAUAUUCCCAUGUGUAGUUGCACCAUAGAUUUGUGUAAUGGCAUUAUGAUACAGGCAGUUUUAUUUUUUGAUCCCUUUCCUAUUGCUCAUUAACACAGAAUUCACCUUUUUGACAGCUGCUGCACCAUGAGUUAACAUUUUCAUUGCUCUAUCCACUACAACCUGAAGGUUGAUUUCCUGGCGAAUUCAGACCUUAUUAGCGUUUAUGUGAGGUUAGUUUUUGGGCACCAAUGUUAAUCACUUUACACUUGUUUAACACUGAAUUCCUUUUUUGCUAUGCCCAUUCAAUUCAUUACAUUAACGAAAGGUGCAGCAUGCAUCACUGUAGAAUUCCUAUUUUGAGUUUAUACUGUACAGUAAGCAUUAUGUUGUUCAAUUUUAUUAGAAAGCACACACCUCCAAAUUCAGUGGGACUUAUUCCUCAGUAAGCACACAAAGGGUUGCUGCCUUUAAAAAAAUAAUUCCUAAGCUUGACUUGUUGCCACAAUACUUACUCACAGCCAUAUGGAAGAGUUAUGUGUGCUGAUCUGAUGGAUCAGCCAAGGAUGCGCACAAACCUUAUACUUGUGAAUGUGCAGUAGUGACAUUCUGCAUAUCUUUAACCUCGCCCAUUUCCAGGAAAAGUAUCUUCUAGUGGUCUCUCUCUCUCUGCCUUAAGCACUAACUGGAAUUUUCCCUUACCAGUGCAAGCUGACUGUUAACAAUCUUCUUCUCCACGGAUUCUACCAGGAGUAUCAGCUGCUCCUCUGUCAAUUCUGGAAAAGUGAGGAAUAUUGUCAGUUUCAGGAAUGGGUUCCAUUCUGUGAAAUGCAAGGCCAAAGCAGAGACCUGGCAAAGAUUUUGAGGAUUUUCAGUUAGCAGCUCUGCUCCUGGGCUGAAAUGUUCUCCAUUCAAGUCAAAUACUUGAUUCUGAUAUUUUGAGAGGGAUAAUGCUUACCAUCUAGAGCAUAAAGGAAGUAGAGGACUGCCUCAACAAGGUCAGUGAAAACGGCCCCACUGGAAUCUUGUAAAUUCUCCACCAAGUCUCGCAGCUCUGGCUUGCCAGCCUUCAGCUUGAAUUGACCGGUGCCUUCAAGAGCCUCUUCCAGCUGAGAGUUUAGGUUACAGCAAAAGAUGUUAAUGCCAAAUGGUGGGUAUAUUAACAUAUGGCCUGAGAUUUGGCUAUGCGUAGCACAUAUGUGAAAGUAGGGCUUGGUAGGUGAUAGGUAUCACUUUAUUUGUAAAUGGCUGUGAACAUCAAGACUCUGGACCAUUUGGUCAUUUUUAUUUAGAUGUGGCACAAUCCACAAAGCCUAGAAACAUUAGGAAAAAGCAUUACUCUUUUGGGCAGGGAGUAUUGCAGUGGGGGAGCUGAGGGCCUAAUGAUAGACUGGACUGUUGCUAAUAAGUAAAGUUUUGACAUCGGGUAACUACAGUAGGUAAUUUUUGUACCUCUAAUUUAUUAUAUAUUAUAUAUAUAUCAUAUUUUGUGUUUGUGUGUAGAAGAUUGUAAUGAGAGGGGCCCAUUGUGUCAAUAGGGCAAGGUUAAAGGAGGGCAGUCAAGUUCAUGCACACCACAUUGAAAGCAAGAGAUAAGAGAACUGCCAGAUCCUAAGGAAGGAUUCAACCAGCAACUGGAAACUGUAUGAUAAAUCAUCUUUUCAGUUGCAAACCCCUUGCCCACACCCUGAAAAACCUUUUCCUAAUGUUCAACACAGCCACUGGUUUUAUUUUUUUUGUCCUUCUUCUCCCUAAGUGGUUCAGAUGUGUUUCCCAAUUAUAACUGGUCAUACAAACCCCUGAUUGUUGAGAGGCCAUGUCUACCUGUUGCUACAUUCCCUCCCCCUAAACCUGGGCCUUUUAGUCUCUAAUUCGAGUCUGGAACAUUUAAUCUGUUGAACAUUUUAUUUAACACCUCACUUCACUGCUUUAGUUUUGUUUUGUUUACAGAACAAUUCUGAAGAUUUUAAAAGUAAUGAAUUGGUUUGUACUAGUAUUUCUUUGUGCGUAUUACAUUAUUAUUUCUGAACCACUCUGCAAUAUGUUAAUUUAAGAGUGAUAUAUAAAUGAAAUCCUAAAGUAA